UAGAAGCCCUACUGAGGUCUUUGAGC
rnacentral:sRNA from 1 species